UCAGUAAAACAUCUGUGGAGAACUAAUCUAACAAGUCAUCGGCAUUGUAAAAUGCUUCCUUCAGCAAUUCAACCCAAUCUUUGACUUGAUGACUUUAUGAAUACUGCUCCUCUGCAUCAAGAAGCACAGCCUGGAUUGAUGAAACUGUCCUCCUGAGUUUGUCAAGCUCAUCUUUGACACCCCAACACAGGCUAGUCUCUCGAAGAACUAGAGAACCCAACUUCUUAAUGAUUUCCACGGCAAUGUCGGAGAGAAUUGCAUCUGCCAUUGGCUUUCAAGCUAGGGAGUGGAAAGUAAGGGUAAGGCACAAAUGGGAAGUGUUUAAGGUUUGAACAGAAGGAUUAUGAAGGUGUGUGUGGAGGAUGAAAAUGCUAGAGUAAUAUUUAUCACAAGGAACUUAGGCUCUUCAAGGAUGCUACUCAUUCAUUUCCUUAAGGACAAGGAACGAAUAAGUGCGUCAACCAUCAUUGCAAGGUAGGAAUAAAG
rnacentral:misc_RNA from 1 species